GUGCCAGCCGCCGCGGUAAUACGUAGGUGGCAAGCGUUGUCCGGAUUUAUUGGGCGUAAAGCGAGCGCAGGCGGUUUCUUAAGUCUGAUGUGAAAGCCUUCGGCUCAACCGAAGAGGUGCAUCGGAAACUGGGAAACUUGAGUGCAGAAGAGGACAGUGGAACUCCAUGUGUAGCGGUGAAAUGCGUAGAUAUAUGGAAGAACACCAGUGGCGAAGGCGGCUGUCUGGUCUGUAACUGACGCUGAGGCUCGAAAGCAUGGGUAGCAAACAGGAUUAGAUACCCUGGUAGUCCAUGCCGUAAACGAUGAGUGCUAGGUGUUGGAGGGUUUCCGCCCUUCAGUGCCGCAGCUAACGCAUUAAGCACUCCGCCUGGGGAGUACGACCGCAAGGUUGAAACUCAAAGGAAUUGACGGGGGCCCGCACAAGCGGUGGAGCAUGUGGUUUAAUUCGAAGCAACGCGAAGAACCUUACCAGGUCUUGACAUCCUUUGACCACUCUAGAGAUAGAGCUUUCCCUUCGGGGACAAAGUGACAGGUGGUGCAUGGUUGUCGUCAGCUCGUGUCGUGAGAUGUUGGGUUAAGUCCCGCAACGAGCGCAACCCUUAUUACUAGUUGCCAGCAUUAAGUUGGGCACUCUAGUGAGACUGCCGGUGACAAACCGGAGGAAGGUGGGGACGACGUCAAAUCAUCAUGCCCCUUAUGACCUGGGCUACACACGUGCUACAAUGGAUGGUACAACGAGUUGCGAGACCGCGAGGUUUAGCUAAUCUCUUAAAACCAUUCUCAGUUCGGAUUGUAGGCUGCAACUCGCCUACAUGAAGCCGGAAUCGCUAGUAAUCGCGGAUCAGCAUGCCGCGGUGAAUACGUUCCCGGGCCUUGUACACACCGCCCGU
rnacentral:rRNA from 1 species